ACGGCUCCAAUACGGGAGGGUUAAUGUUUUGAUUCUUGUCUACAAUAGAUGUGUGGUUGUGUUGUUCACCCUCUUCGGCCAUUCGUAUCCAUCAAACCAUUUAGUUUGAUUCAAACCAUGUUUGAGGUUCGUUUCAGUUUGUUUUGUGGGUUUCGUCAUUUUUCCGUAGUUAUACGAUUUACGUUCGUUGUUGAGGGGGGAAUGAGCUUCAGUCAUGUUCGGUUGGUUGGCUGACAGACUGGCUAGAAAGAUGAAUGCAUGCAUAUCUAUGGAUGGAUGGAUGUGUAUGACGAGUGGUGUGUGGUGGAGCACAUUCAGUUACACAAACUUAUUGCUUUGUGUUGCUGUCUGCUUAUACUGUUUUGUUGUUGCUACUGCUGCUGUUGCCUGCUUGUGUACAACAAUAGCAACACAUUGAAGUAGAAGACGAAAACGAAACGAAACACAAAAAAUAAAACACACAGAAUUCAGUUAGAAGAGAUUUUCGCUUGUUGUGGCCCGCGACGAUUUGAGCCAAUUUAAAGUUGGCAGUUUUGUUUAUGCCGUCGUCGUCCGCUAAUGCUGUCGCGUUCAAUUGUUUUAUGAAAUUUAUCGCGUCGUCAUAAACGUUCGUCGUCAUCAAAUGCAAACAUACUUGUGGCGUUAAAUUGUCGUGUUUUGUUUUUGUUGUGAUUUUGUUUUUCUUCUUCACGUUUUUGUGUGAGCGAUCAUCAUCUAUGAUUUUGACAACAAUUAUGACCAUUCAUAACAAGCCUAUUUUAUAUGCCGAUUUCUUUGCGGGAUGGUGUGACAAAAAGAAAUAAGAAGCCCUUCGAAAGGAAGUUGGUUGUGAAGAGAAGGAAAAAGUCGUUGUUGCGUUGUUCUUGUUGCCGUCGCUAAGGCUGUCAUUACCGCCGCGUGUUAAGAUACUGCAAAUCAAUCUUGUAAACGCGAUAACGUGCUAAACGUAUGCGUGCGUGACACUUUUUUGUACACACGCACCAACAACACACACACACACCGCAUGUGUAAGAGUGAGUUUUGGGCGGUUUUUUGUUGUUUUGCCUAAAAAGACGCCUAGUGUGUAGUUUUAAGUGCGUGUUGCGCGUGUGUUUGUUUGACGUGCCUCCUGCAUUACCGCCGCAAGAAAAUUAAAACGUCGUUGUUCUUCAAAGGCCAAUGAAAUGUCAAUGGAAAUUGUAAACAAAAAAAAAUAUAGAAAGAAAAAAUAAUAAAAAAAUUAAAAAAAAACAAUCUUGGAUUACCAAAAUUAAAACCUAGCGGAGUAAACAUCUUUUGGGCGCCAAAAUAUUUUGCCGCCGGAUUUUUGCCGUUUGGAAAAAAAAAAAAGCAGAAAACAAUAAAUUCAAAUUCAAUGACAAACAAUUUCUUUUCCAAAACAAAAUAACAACAAAAUCACCAGAAAAAAAGAGUGCAACAAAUAAUGUGUGAAAAAUAUUUCUGAAACAAAAAAAUUUUGUUUCGUGACAUUGAAUUAAUUUGGUGACAAAUAUAUAAAACAAUUUGGAAAAUUACAAAACAAAUAAAUAAAAAUAAACAAACAAACAAAUAAAGAAGCAGCUGUGCCGGUUUUCUAGUUCUCGUUCUAAUGAAUGGCAGGUUGGUCAUUUCGGAUUUAUCUUAUCUGCCAAGUGAUUGUGCUCUUUGGAACACACGAUACGAUAUGUCGACCUCGUAAAAAAAGAGUUGAAUUGAAUCGAAUCAUCAGCAAGAACACUUAGCUGCAGAAGAAAGCCACAGCGAGCGCCGGUAAAGUGAUUGUGAGGAAACGUGUGCGUGAGUGAGUAGCGAGCGUGUGUGUGCGUAAGACAAGUGUUUGGCAACAAAUUUGCCAUUAAUUUUGUGAUUAAACAAUUCCGCCUUCACACAUAGACACACACACACCUAAAAGAAAUCAAAAAGAAAUACAAAAUCCGAAGAUAUAAACCUAAAGCAACAAUUCCCCCAAAAACGAAAUCCCACCUUACCGUCGGUACGGGAGAAAGGUGUUCGGAAAUCAUCAAUUGAUAAUAAAAUGAAACACACCAACAAAAGCAACACAUAAAAAUAGAACAAUCAAAAAAAAAAAAAAAAAAACACAAAA